CAAAGAAGCUCACCCCUUUCACAGUCUCAGCAUUUCGAUGUCCUUUGUAUACUUGGGGAGUGGUUUUGUCAUCAGCAUCCAUAGGCACCAUUUCCUUUACAUCGCUGCCUGUGGAAACUGGAGAGGAUGGGUCUGGAUUGGAACCCAAUCCCAUGUCUCGUGUGAAAAGAUAGAUGAACUCGUCAUUAUAUGAGACUAGAAGCUCGCUCUGGUCUGAGAAUGACAAGCCUGUAAUUCCAAAUUGCUCAUCACCAAUCAAAUGUGGAGGACAAAAGUAAUCUUUAGGUUGACCAAAUUCGGUUGAUCCAUCCCACUUAUACAUGCGGACAUCAUAAACUCGAGUAUACUCAUCUGAUCCUGCAACUGCAAAGAGAUUUGGAUUCCUGGGAUCAAUUGCAAUUGCAUUUAGGUGGACAACUGGCAUGUAAUUCCUCCUAUCAUCAAUUGGUUGACAAGUAAAAAGUUCUGUAGCACGCCUACUUCUCAGAUCAAAAUGUUGAACCAAUCCA
rnacentral:misc_RNA from 1 species